rnacentral:snRNA from 1 species
AUACUUACCUGGCCGAGAAGAUACUAUGACCAAGAAGUCAUUUUCCUCAUGGGAACUCAUCACUGGGCUUGGGAUGUGUUGAUGUUUUUGGCUCCUCCAAAUGUGAGAACCUUGACUGCAUUAUUUGUGAUGGUGGGAACUGUGUUUGUUGUCUCUA